UUGAGGGAAGUUUCCGAAGCUCGAAUGUGAUUAGAUUCGUACUUCAUCAUCCUUAUUCUCGCUCAGGAACUAUUCAUUUUACGGCGAGUUAAAUAUAUAUAUGGUCUCAAGAAGAUAUGUGGGACCUGUAACAAUUUCAUCAAUCAAGAGAUUCUCCUGUCUUUAUUGCAGUUAUUCAAAACCAUCAUCGAAAAGAGAAGAAAGAAAUUUGAUAAUAUCAAUAUAAUAAAAUAACAAUAUUUGAGGAUUGAAACGCGGAAGUGCUGAAGCUGAUCCUCAUCAACGAUGUAUCAAGUGUCGCUUGUGGCAGUAACCGGUUUCAUUCAAGAGAAAAAGGAGCAAGAGAAAGAACGCGAGAUGACGCCAAAGAUAAAGCGUAAUAGUUAUGGCACGACGAUACAACGUGCAGAUAUAUAUAUCUAUAAGUAUACAGGAGUAUGCGCAUCUAUAGCAACCGAUCUUUGUAAAGGGCAAUGUCCUAUCGUGGCCGUUCGCCAUGAGUUCAUUUCCCCAUCCCGCGAUUCUUGGCGCCUAUUACCGUAACCUUGCCCUUGCUCUCUCUUUCUCUUCCGCCUUGUGCUAAGAAUCAAUGUCGUCGCAGAAUUGCCACCGCUUUUGGAAACGAUCUUCGUUUUCGGAAAUUUUCAUGGGAUUGUAUCGUAUAUAUCUUUGAUUAUCCUUAAUUAGUAGGAUCAUGUUUUAAGAAUCCUCAGAGUAAGAAUCCAUUCGAUACUUAUACAUUACAGCUUAAAAAAAUAUAAAGAACAAAAAAAGUAAAUAGGAAAAGAUAGGAAUUAUUUAGCAUUUAUUGUUUUUUAAGAAAUUAGUGAUUCGGAAGAGAAUUUAAAAAUUCAAUAAAAUUAAUGAGAAUCGCUUGUAUGAUUUCCAUUCAUAUUUAAAUGCAUGUUCACGUUGUUAUUGUUGUUUAAAUAUUUUAUUUGAAGCUUGAUAGAUACAUAUAGUGUAACUUUCGCGCAUACAUUGGUUUAUAUAAAACAACAACCAUUUCGCAUUUUAGCCCGUUCUAAGCAUUUAAUUAAUC